UUUUUUUUUUUUUUUUUUUUUUGUCCCUUACCAAAACAUCCUGGAUCUGGGCUCCCAUCAGCACCAGACAGCUUCCUCAUUCCUUCUCAUCGCUCUACCGGGGUUUGUUGUUCAGCUGUCCCAUGCCUUGUUUAACUAAGCUUUUCUUGAUGGACGUCUGGGUUUAUUUCCAGCUUCCAGCCCCAGCCAGUGGAGCUGUGAGGAGUUAUCUUGCACCCACGUUACUGCCAGAGUAUCUGGUGGCACUCCCAGAGAGUGGCGGGAAGGGCACAAGGGAUAUCUGUUGAUUUUUGUGAUCCUCUGUGUCACACAGUCCACCCCACCGAGCGCUACCCAUCAGCCUCUCGCCCCAGGUCAUUACUUCUCUAUAAGGACACAGUUCUCCUCUGUGCAAAGCCUCUCUCCAGCCCUUGGUGUCUUUAGUUACUGUCCUUAGAAUGGACGUCUUCCUUUUCUACACCAGUGCACAGCUCCCAGGUAAAGGCCGUGUCUCAGAUAGGUUUCUAGUGCUCUGAUAAACGCCAUGGGCAAACCUAUGGAGGAAAGAGGUUUUUUCUUCUUACAACUCUCAGGGCACCGUUCAUCAUGGAGGGGAAUUGAGGAAGGAAUUCAAGUCAGAGACCUGGAGGCAGAAACUGAAGCGUAGGCCAUGGAGGGACAUGCGGACAUUACUAGAUUGCUCGACGUGACUUGCUCAGCCUUCAGUCUUGGACAACUGAGGACCAUCUGCACAGGGGUGGUACAUGGUUAGAUGGUUUGAGUUGAUCAUUUUAAACCUGUCUCUUUGAGUCUUGUUCAUGAGUUCAUAAGACGUCCCUGCCCUGGCUGGAGAGAUGGCUCAGCGGUUAAGAGCACUGACUGCUCUUCCAGAGGUCAUGAGUUCAAUUCCCAGCAACCACAUGGUGGCUCACAACCAUCUGUAAUGAGAUCUGGUGCCCUCUUCUGACCUGCAGCCACAUAUGCAGGCAGAAUGCUGUACAUAAAAUAAAUCUUUAAAAAAAAAAAAAAAAAAAGACGUCCCCGCCCCAGCUAUGAGGUAUCUCUGGCAUUUUCUCCAAAUCUGGCUGUCAGUGGAUCUAACCUCGCUACAAGUACGGUUGGGAGAUCACAGCUGCAGAGACGUCGUAUGUAGUCCUGUCACUGCUGGUCUGUGAUUCUAGGAUGGGGAAGAGUGAUCCUGGGAGCCCCAGCUCAGCUCCCAAUCUGCCACCUGAUCUCAGAUGAGUCCUUCCUCUUCUCACACGUCAGAGCUGCUAAGCAGGAGCCAAUCCACAGACCACUGGCUAAGGCUCAUGAUGUCUGAGAGGGACUCUGCACAUCUUAGACGGUUUAAGUCUAGUUUCUUUUUAUAUUAUUUGUAAUAAUAAGAGAGCCGAGAUUGGGUAUUUAACAUGUAGAUAAGGACACCAGGAGUCCCAGGUUUGGUGGCUGCCUGUGCCACAAGCUUCUCUGAAGAAGGGUCUGUGCUGUCCCGCACAUGGCAGAGAGGGCAGAAGGCGGGGGCAUUUGCAAAGAAUGAAAAAUGGCUGAAUAUGCGAUAUAGCCAACCUGUUCUUUGGAGAGAAUAAUCCUUUCAGGAGAGGUCGGCUCGAUGCCUCUCACUGCUGUCCCAUCAGAGACUCAAACAUCGGCACGAAUUCUGUCUGUUGAUAAAGACUAAGAUAUAAGCUUCCUCUUCAGUCAGAAACCAUGGAACCCAGAUACCAAACUGCUACUGUCCAUGACGAACCUCCCUCCUAGUGCUCAUGCUUCCAAAUGACAAGAUGCUGUAUCCAUGGGGACAAGAUGCUGUAUCCAAGGGAACACUUACAGGAGAUCUGGGCCAAGCAGGUCCUGCUGAUGUUUUGCUGCAAGGCCCUUUUACCAGUGGUGUGGCCAGAGCAUGCCCAUAGAUCUUGGGGGGUCUGCCGAUCUGAGCAUGCAGCAGAAAGCCACGUUGAUGAGUGAGUCCUCAGGUGUCCUUACAGUGAGUUCUACUCACUAUAAAGUGUCUUUACGAGUGAGUCCUCAGGCAGAGAUGUCCUUAGCUCCAGGUCUCAGUCAGCAGAACCCAACAUAGGCCCAGCUCUUCUGUCUCUCACAAUCUUAUUUACCUCAAAGGUCCCCAAUCGUCAAGAGUCGCCAGUUCCUGUGUGUCUUAGAGUCUUGGUCAUUGAACUUGCAGAAUGACCAUGAUAACAGCAGACAGAAUGACCACACAGACCCUCUGUGUGGAAACAGUUUAUCAAACACUUUCUGCAUUCAUCAUGCUUCUGAACAUGGACUCCCACUAGAGUUGUUCUUCUGCGACCUUCCGGUGUGGAGGCUCAUCUGGGGUCCCAGUGGGACUAGGGUUCCCACCCUUGGGAAGUGGCAGCUAGCACUUUUUGGGGGAUCCCAUCUAAAACAUAGUCUCUGAAUCCACCAUCCCCACAUAUCAGCCUGGGAAGGACCCUGGGAGCUGACACCUGACACAGCUGUAGCAUUUGAGGAAAGACUUGGAAUCUAGUCUUCCCAUCACCCAAGGGUUGGGGCAAGGUAAACGCUCAUCUUACAGACCAGACCAGAAAGGAGCCUUUCUCUCAGCAGUGUAGUAGCAGAUACUCAGUUAUAAAUUAGACCCAGAGCCCGGGAAUUAGCUCAUUGGUAAAGUACUUGGUUCACAUGUGUGAGGACCCGAGUUCCAUCCCCUGCACCCUUCUAAACAGCCCAGCAAGUGGCUUGAGCUUGUAAUACCAGUACUGGAGAUGCUCUCUGACAUAGCUGGGUCCACAGUCUUGGUGCCUAGCUAGUGUACCUUAAUUGGUGAGCCCCAAGUUCCAGAGAGAGAGCCCCCACCUCAAAAGACAACGGGGGGUGUUCCUGAAGAAUGAUACAUGAGGUUGAUCUUUGGCCUCCAUGGAUCAUGUGCACACAUGGGUACAGGCGUUCGCAUGCACACGUUAACCUAUACAUACGCACACACUGCAAAUAACAUAACUCAAGACCUUCUGUCUGAACUACCUGGGCCUUUGCUCAGCUCUUCAAAAACACUCAAGUCAACAUCUAUUGGAAAGAGGAAGAGCUUCAAAGAGACCCCAGAUGGCCUGGCUCUGACCAGAGAGAAUUGACUGGGGCUGGAUGUACUCUGUAGGGUACUUGUCUCUUGUACAUCUUUUAAGGACAAGCUAAAGGUGUGUUUACUGUCUAUCGCAUGCAAGCACCAGUCUUGGGGUCCAAGAGUCCGUGUCCAAGCAACUUAGAAGUCCUGGCAUUUAUUACAUCACGGAAUGUCCAUAGUUUAUUCCUUUGUUACAAAUACAGCAAGAAAUCCCCACCAACUGGAGGGAGAUCUGAAGUCCAAGAUGAAGGCAUGGACAGGCCUGACCCCUUCUGAGAGCUGUUAGAGAUCUUCUAGGCUCAAACACAAGAGGGAAAGACUAGACACAAAUGGAUGUCUGGGAGCAGAGAUCUGCAGAUCCUGUGCCGGGUGACAUACACAUUCCUGGUUUGUUUCUCAGCCAGGUCAUUAAGGCAAAUGCUAAGGACCUGCCCCCGUUUUGCAGAUGGAAAGACUGGAUGUUGGUUUGGAAAGGGGCAGGUUCAAACCUGGAAGUGUGAACUGAUCGAUCGGUCUCCACUGUGCCACUCUUCUAGAACAUCUGUGUUUGGAGCGGGUGGGAGAAGGAGGGUGUGGAGCUUGUAUCAGCUAGGCAGCCACAACCCCAGGGAGGGGUAGCAGUCUCCGCCUUCACCCUCACCUUGCACCUUGACAAUCUCCAGUGUGUGUGUGUGUGUGUGUAUGUGUGUGUGUGUGUGUGUGUGUGUGUGUGUGUGUGUGCGCCAGUGUCCAGCUCCCUGCUAUGGUGCAUUGUUUGCCUGAAAUGGUCUCCCAAGGCCCACCAUGUGGCUCACCUCUUCUGACAAAACUGUAGCCAAGCUUUGACAGAAGGUGCCCAUCACUGGAAAGUGACUGUGUUUCCCCUGUCCCGUGCCUGGCUUUGUGUCCAGGGCUGGUGGAAAAAGCAGAAAGUUGACAAGAUGAUGUCUGUGGCUCUCACUGAAGGUUUAUCUCCUCCCAGAAAGUGUCAGGUCACGUGCCAGGCCCCUGGGGGUUGGGGAAUUUACAACUUCUCAACUCUAGUAUCCUCGUUGGCAACCCCACCCCACGCGCUAUGCUCUGUUGAUGGAUUCAGAUGUUCUGUGGAGUUUAAUGUUGCCACUGCUGUGUUUGUGUUUUCAAGUUUCUCCUCCCCAGUAGCCAAAUCUGAUUUUUCACCUAUCUCCCAUAAUGGUUAAUAUUGACUGUCAGUUUGAGGGGGAUCUGGAGGCAACCAGAUUCUGAUCAUAUUACUUAAGGGGCUAUCUAAAUUAUGGUAAUUGAGGAGGAGCGAUGUUCCUGAGUAUGGGGCAGUGCUAGUCCAUGGACCGAGGUCCCAGACUGAAGACAGAGGAGAAGGCGGGCAGAGCACCAGAGUCCAUUACUCUCUGCUUCCUGACUGUGGACAAUGGGAUCAGCUGCCUCGUGCUUCCACUGCUAUGGUGGACAGCGCCCCCCCAUAUCUGUAAACUGGAAUAAACCCCAUGCCCCUUAGGUUGCUUCUUGCCAGGUAUUUUGUUACAGAAACGAGGAGAGAAACUAAAACACCUCCUGAUGAAAAGCUGAAGACACUAAAUGAAUUUCUCAAUAUCUUAUUGUUUCAUGUGAAAUGAUAUCAUGUCAUACCUGAUAUAAGCCUCAUUAAUUCAUACAAUGAAAAAAAAAAUAAAGGGGCAGAAGAGUAAAAAUUUUCAAAGAAUGCUAGACACUGAGGAGGUGGUGAAGAGACCUCCAAGUCUCCUCUGCCGUCACCCAUGAUCAUCCUGUGCCAGGUGCUGUUAGAGCUCAGGGCGAUGGCGCUCCCUUAGAUGUGUGCAGGGCCAACAUGAGGCAGAUGGAAAAGGAUUCUGGAGAUUAGAGAUAGUUCUUCAUCCCAGGAGGAAUGGUACCUACAGACAAACAUGGCUGACAUCUGAAAGAACAGGUCUCUACUUCCAAUUCUCCCCCAGCCUAUGGAGGAAACCAGGUGUGGGGUGACUGGGGUGGGAGAGGGGCUGCAGCAGGAGAGGCUAGCAUUAGGAGCCUGUCUCCUUGGGGCUAUUCCUCUACCCUAGCUGGCUUCUGAAAGGGCAUCUUCAUUUUCAUGGUGCAGCCAUAUUUCCUGGACCCGAACCUAUAUGCUGUCCCAUAGAACUCUCCUCUUUGAGCUCCCCUCAGUCAUCAGUGAAUACCCUCGAUAGUUCUGGCUCUUAGGAAUGGCUCUCUGCAGGGAUGAGCGCAGUGGCUCAAUAAACACCUGUUGUUGGCUUACACACACUAAAAAUGUUGAUGUAAAUAAAAAUUUAAAAUACACACACACACACACACACACACACACACACACACACACACUGACUUGCUUCAAGCCCUGUAUAGUCUCUGCAUUUGACUAGCAAAGCCUGGAGUUAUAGUGAGAACAUGCUGGGAAUGGCUCUGGCAUAGACACCCCAGCUCCGUAGGGUGUGAGAAACACUGGCUCAUCCCCAGUGCCCCACUUCCCAGGGUGACCAUCACGUCUUUGCAAUGGUCAUUCGCCAACAGAGUCUGCAGAUGAUAUUUCUGGUCUCUACCACAACUAAACUCCUGCGUGUAAAAGAAAGAGAGAGAGAGAGAGAGAGAGAGAGAGAGAGAGAGAGAGAGAGAGAAACGGGUUCAGAUCUGUGCUGCUAUGACCUUGGGAGUUUAGGUAGCCACUUGACGGUGCUGUGUGCCUCAGUUUCCCUGGGGAUUAUAAUGACAUCAUCCCAUAGUUGUACAAUAAAAACAAACAUCUCUCUGAAAAGUGUUUGAGCAGCAGCAGCUGGCUGUGGCAUGUUACCAUCCUUCCAUGGUGGCAAGGACCUAGCUGUGUCUCCCUGAUGACAAUGUUUUUGUUGUGUCAGUUGCUGCUAAGUCAUGACCCGAGUUUACCUUGGCGACUUGUUUCCACUCUCAGUAGAAAAUUGAAUUUGGAUAGACUGCAGCCGCACUCGGCUGCUCUCUGGGUCUUGGCCAGUGAGUGGCUUUCAGUCACUGCAGACAGGGCAGAGUCAUUGGGAUUGGAUAUUUUAUGCCACUGCCCCAUAGGUUUGGAUGAGCCUCUUGUAAGACAGCUUGUCGGACCAUCUAACAGUGGACUUUCCAGGUGCUCGGGUCACUCCGGGUGUCAGCCGGAGAAAGCUGCUCUCGUGGCACUGUCAUACAGUCUCUAUAUCCGGGGCAAUGCCUUCUGUCUGUGUCCGGAGCUGCCUUUCUUUGCUUCACGCGGCUUGGCUGAUCCCCAUGUCUGGAUGACGCCCAGCUCCAUUAUCCACUGCUUUCCGGGGCAAAUGGUAGCAGCGCUCCCACCUGCUGGGCCUUGACUCCUUCUGCAUCAGCUUUACGAACCACAAGCACAAGCACCUUCUCCAGUCCCACGUCUCACUAACCUAAGCUCCUUGGGGAGCAGAGGCAGAGCUCCAGUCCCCCAUGGUUGCUUUAGACUGGAACAUAGAUCGUCACCAUGCAUUUCCUUCAAGCGCAGUCAGUGGAGUCAGUGCACCUGCUUCUCAACUGUUCCCCUAUCGCUCAUGGAAUAUUGCUGACUGACUUGAAGCCCACGGACCCACUGCCGAUGAAUGCCCCAUCCCCGCUUCCUCCCGGACCCCAGGUCUGGCUAGUAGACGGCUCCAUACAUCGACAAGUCACGUGGCGGGAGUACUCACAGCCUGAGGCAUAUCCCAUGAGUCUCUGCGCCCUCUCAAUAUUCUCUACUUAUUUGUUUGUUAAUUUGUCUACAUCUGGAAGUCCCUAGACAUGUCGGGCCAGGCCACAGAGACCACGCAAGCUGUCAAAGUAGAACCCAGGCUCUUCACAGGCUUGGGGUGGCCAGGCUAUGACCACUGGCGGCACCCUACAUUUUAUCAAUGAUGUAGGAACAACACCCUUUCCGGAGCUCUUUCCUGAUGCCACUGGCAUCAGAUGCAAAGGGAGUCGAUGCUAGGAAAAAAAAAAAUCCGCCUGACGAUUUAUCCCAUUGGCACAGAGCCUAGAAUUAUAAUCAGAUCUUUACUCCUUCAAAGCCUCUUGCUUUGGAUUUUUCCAAAUGAAAAACAAGUAUUGAGGGCAAUUACCUUCCUUUCGUCUUCUGAUGUACGAAGGGGAGUUUUCACCCGUCAGUCCACGAGCUCUCCCAUUUUACUCUGAAGGCUUCGGCCCGUAGUCUUGUUAACUCAGCACCAGCACUGUCUGUCUAGGUUGUGGCUGAGGAGAGAGAGUUGUUAUGCUGUGAAUUAAUAUUUUCCCCCUUUUAAGAAGGCUCUGGCUGGCCAGACACUCCUUUGCUGACAAAAUCUUCUGUUUUCUUCCUCUUACUGGAGGCAUUGUUUACCUGAGUCCACUUGCUUGCUGUUAUCAAGACACCCUCCAGGGGGCAGCAGACCACAGCCUCUGUGUGUGUUUUCCUCCCACAUACAACUUAAACUGGUCCCAAGUGGAGGUCAGAGGAGUUGGACUCUGGCCUUCUUCUCCGGGCUUCUCUGGACUCCACGUGAGAGCGUGUCUCCUGGAGGAAAAGCAAAGCCCCAGCCAGCCUUAUUUCGGGACAGCUGUGGACAUGACCAGACCUAUUAAUUACUUAAUUGAGGUGCAGGGCUUUGAAGAUGAAAAGUACUUGGUAAAUAAGUGGAGAAUUCGGUGGCUUCCAGCCCAGGAACAUCUUUUCAAGGUAUUGUGUUCCCUCCGGUGACCUUUGCCUGCAAGCACAGACACCCCUGCCUCCACUCCCCACCCCAGCUGGAGAAUCAGGGGUGUCUUCUAGGGGGAUCCUCUAGCAAAAUCACUUUGAUCUCAAGCCACACCCCAUUCCCUGGCUCUAACAACUAAUUCUAUCUUCCCUACACAUGGCACUCACACAUGCACUGACUGUCACAGGUCCCCAAGGCAACGGAGCCAGUGUAAAAUGGGCACUCUGUAGCUCUAGCCACCAAUCAGGUGGGCCCUCCAAGCAUGAGGUCAACAUAUGAACAAAGCCCUUUCCCUCCUUGUAAGGUCCCAGUGACAAACCCAACUAUAAUCUUCCAAAUUGAACCUGUGGAAUUAAGGAGUUAAUUUGGCUUAUAACAUGGGGUUGGGGGUGGGUGUGUUAGCUGCCCUGGACAGACUUCACUCAGCAUGGAGGAUGGAGAGCCCCUCCAUUAAUCCUCUCCAGCCAGUAUACUCGACUACCUCCUGAGAGAUCACGUACGGUUAGGGCAGAAUUGUGUACAGGUGGCUGGAAUCUCAGGCGAGUGCUUCAUGACCCUCUCCACCCCAACCCCUUUCUCUGAGGAAAGAUGGGGCCAAUUCCCGAUGGGGAUGGUCUCUUACAAGCAGGUGCACCUGAUCCGAUGUGGGGCCUUUCUUUGAGGAUUGGACUGGACCAGACCAACUCUUCCUGGGCAGAGCCUACAGCACAGCACAUUCUUUUAUUGUGAGGAGAUGGGGCGUGGCCUUCACAGAUGAAUUGAGAUGCAGGUUGCCGAGAAGAGGAUGUGCAAGAAAGGAGCCGAGUUCAUCUAGCAGUAUGUCAGUGGCGAGGAUCCUCUGUGUACAGAUCUCCAGCGUGGACUCUGCCUCAUGAGUUUGACAGCAAUGUAGUUGAAAGCAGGAGAACGGCGGAAGGCUAGGAUCUCACAGGCCCAGAAGUGACAGAAGGUGACAAGUUUCCCUUUCUGUGCCCUUCUGUCCCCAGAGAAUCCAUCUAUCCCGUGCCUCUGGUGUCACCUUGUGGUUUCUUCCACGUACAUUGUGGCCAUAAGCUUUUGCCACAGUCAAACAGACAAGGCCAUGCAAUCUUAAACUUGUAGCCUCCAAAACGGCGAGGUAAACCUACUCCUCCACUUUAAACAUUGUUGUGACUGGACAUUCAAAGAGAACAAUGGUUAGUGUUAGCAGACGCCCUUCCGUCUCUGUCUAGCUAUUGUCUGCCUAGCCUCUCUGUCUAUCCAUGAAUUCAUCUGUAACCUUUUAUGAAAAUGAGAUUAUGAGGACCAUUCUCUUUUAUGACUUUUCUUUUGCUAUUACCUAUUCUACUAAAUCUUUUUUUUUACUUUUAAA